AGAUAAGAAAUAAACAGCGCGGGGGUUAGGGAUGCAAAAGUGCGUCUCUCAAGGCUGAACUGAAGCUUUGUUUCAGUCUGAGGCUCAGCAGUCAUCAGCAUGCCUAUGACCUAUUCCGGCAUAUUUCAGGGCUUCAUCAGAUUCAAAGCCACGUCGCGGCUUCGUUCCGCUCCUCUCAGACAUUCUCUUCCCUCCAUUUCAUCCGCUCCUUUUCACCGCACCGCCAUUCGCCUCCGCCACCACUCCUGCUCCGCCGCGCUUCAAGUCGUCAAGAACACGCGCCAGAGGACCUUCAAGUUUCCGUUUUGGCACCAACGCAGCUCCACCUAUGGUCGUUUCGCCUACCAGGACGUCUCCAGUGACGAAUCCGAUGUCGAAUUCGCGUCUUCUCCCUCUCACAACCAACAACUGGGUGAUUCAACUCACGAGAACAUUGACGAUUGGAGAUGGAAGCUCACCAUGCUUAUGCGCAACAAAGACGAACAAGAAGCGGUGUCCAGGGAGAAGAAGGACCGUCGCGAUUUCGAGCAACUUUCCACUUUAGCUACCAGGAUGGGUUUGUAUAGCCGGCAGUAUGCAAGAGUUGUUGUGUUUAGCAAGGCGCCUUUGCCAAACUACCGCCCUGAUUUGGAUGAUAAGCGUCCACAAAGAGAGGUAGUCUUACCACUUGGUGUUCAUAAAGAAGUAGACGCUCAUCUCCUUGCCCAUCUUUCACAAAAGGCUAGAAACAAGUGGGAUUUUAUGGAAGAUUCCUUGCAUAACUCAAGUGAUUCUAGAAGCAUUCCAGCCAAUGAAAGAAUGUAUGAACAGCCAGAGCCCGUGACCCAUAAUAGUGUUGUCAAGGAGAAAAUCCUUCAACGAAAAAGUUUGCAACUGCAUCAUCAGCAACAGGAUUGGCAGGAGUCUCCUGAAGGGCAAAAGAUGCUUGAAUUUCGUAGAAGUCUUCCUGCUUUCAAAGAGAAGGAUGCAUUUCUGAGAGUUAUUUCACAGAGUCAGGUCGUCGUUGUCUCAGGUGAAACUGGUUGUGGUAAGACCACAGAACUUCCUCAAUACAUAUUAGAAUCUGAGAUUGAAGCUGCACGUGGAGCUGUAUGUAACAUAAUCUGUACUCAGCCUAGAAGAAUAUCUGCUAUGUCUGUUUCUGAAAGAGUUGCAGCAGAGCGUGGGGAGAAAUUGGGAGAAUCUGUUGGAUACAAAGUUCGCCUGGAGGGUAUGAAAGGGAGAGAUACUCGUCUUCUUUUUUGCACCACAGGUGUAUUAUUGCGGAGAUUGCUUGUGGAUAGGAAUUUAAAAGGUGUAACUCAUGUUAUUGUUGAUGAAAUUCAUGAACGUGGAAUGAAUGAAGAUUUUCUUCUCAUUGUCUUGAAGGAACUUCUCCAUCAUCGUCCUGAUUUGAGGUUGAUUUUGAUGAGUGCAACCUUAAAUGCUGAGCUAUUUUCUUCAUACUUUAAUGGUGCUCCAACUAUGCAUAUUCCUGGUUUUACAUUUCCAGUUCGAGCACAUUUUCUUGAGGACAUUCUGGAAAGGACUGGAUAUCGAUUGACACCGUAUAAUCAAAUUGAUGACUAUGGUCAAGAAAAAACAUGGAAAAUGCAGAAGCAAGCUCAAGCUUUCAGAAAAAGAAAGAGCCACAUUGCUUCUGCUGUUGAGGAUGCUUUAGAAGUUGCAGAAUUUAAGGGGUAUAGCCUACGCACUCAAGAUUCAUUGUCCUGCUGGUACCCUGACUCAAUUGGUUUUAACCUUAUUGAACAUGUGCUUUGCCAUAUUGUUAAGAAUGAAAGGUCAGGUGCUGUUUUGGUUUUUAUGACUGGUUGGGAUGAUAUAACCUCUUUGAAGGAUCAACUUCAAGCUCAUCCUUUGUUGGGUGAUCAGAGCCGAGUAUUGCUUCUUGCAUGCCACGGCUCCAUGGCCAGCUCUGAGCAGAGGUUGAUAUUUGAAAAUCCUGAAGGAGGGGUGAGGAAAAUUGUUCUUGCAACUAACAUGGCUGAGACUAGUAUUACCAUCAAUGAUGUUGUCUUUGUGGUUGACAUUGGAAAAGCAAAAGAAACAUCAUAUGAUGCAUUAAAUAACACUCCUUGUUUGCUUCCAUCUUGGAUAUCAAAAGCUGCUGCUCGGCAGAGAAGAGGAAGGGCUGGUCGUGUUCAACCUGGUGAAUGCUACCAUCUUUAUCCCAGAUGUGUUUAUGAUGCUUUUGCUGAUUAUCAAUUGCCAGAGCUUUUGAGAACACCUUUGCAGUCCUUAUGUCUGCAAAUCAAAACUCUACAACUUGGAAGCAUCUCUGAGUUUUUAUCUAGAGCUCUACAGCCACCAGAGCCUCUAUCGGUUCAAAAUGCUAUUGAAUAUUUGAAGAUUAUUGGGGCCUUAGAUGAGAAUGAAAAUUUAACAGUUUUAGGGCACAAAUUGGCAAUGCUUCCUGUGGAGCCCAAACUUGGCAAGAUGCUCAUUUUGGGAGCUAUCUUCAAGUGUUUGGAUCCCAUAAUGACUAUUGUUGCUGGUCUUAGUGUAAGAGAUCCAUUUGUAAUGCCGUCUGACAAGAAGGAUCUUGCAGAGUCUGCCAAAGCCCAAUUUGCUGCUCGUGACUAUAGUGAUCAUCUUGCACUCAUCCGGGCUUAUGAUGGUUGGAGAGAUGCUGAAGCGCAGCAAGCUGGUUACGAGUACUGUUGGCGAAAUUUUCUUUCUUCUCAAACACUUAGGGCCAUUGACUCUCUUCGAAAGCAAUUCUUUUAUUUGCUCAAAGAUAUUUGUCUGGUUAAUAACAAUUCUGAAACCUACAAUACAUGGAGUCAUGAAGAGCAUCUACUCCGAGCAGUCAUCUGUGCGGGUUUGUUUCCCGGAAUAUCCUCUGUUGUGAACAAAGAUAAGUCAAUAGCACUGAAAACAAUGGAGGAUGGUCAGGUUCUUUUGUAUUCUAGCUCUGUAAAUGGUUGUGUACCCGAAUUCCAUUCCCAUGGUUAGUGUUUAAUGAAAAGGUGAAAGUGAAUUCAGUAUUCCUUAGGGAUUCAACUGGUAUAUCUGAUUCAGUGCUUCUCUUAUUUGGUGGGAAUGUAUCCAGAGGUGGACUAGAUGGUCACCUGAAAAUGUUGGGAGGGUAUUUGGAGUUUUUCAUGAAACCAGAAUUAGCCAAGACUUACUUGAGCUUAAAGAUGGGACUGGAAGAACUGAUACAGAAAAAACUUUUGGAUCCCAUGUUGGAAACACAAUCGCAUAGUGAACUUCUUUCAGCUGUUAGAUUGUUGGUAUCAGAGGACCAUUGUGAUGGGAGAUUUGUCUUUGGUCGCCAGGUCCUACCACAAUCAAAGAAGGAAACAAACUCCAAAACUGGUGGUGUAGCUGAGGAGAAAAAUUAUAAAAAUCACCUUCAAGCAUUCCUUAACAGGGCUGGACAUGAUUCACCAACUUACAAAACAAAGGAGCUGAAAAACAACCAAUUUCGUUCUACUGUCAUAUUCAAUGGGUUGAAUUUUGUUGGUCAGCCAUGCAGCAGCAAAAAGUUAGCAGAAAAAUCUGCUGCUGCUGAGGCUCUUCUAUGGUUAAAAGGGGAUAGCCAUUCGUCUGAUGAUAUUGACCAUGCAUCAGUGCUUUUGAAAAAGAGCAACAAGAAAAGUAGGAAAAAUUCGUUUAGCAGUGCUAAAUGGAGUUGAGCUGCCUUUAAAAGCUUACCUUGGAUAGAUUUGUUAAUAGCAUUGUAUACUAAGAAAAACUUGUCCAGUUGAAGGCUAUGGUGCAAUUGAUUCAAGGAUCUUUUCUGUCAUUAUUUCAACAGCGAGUGUACAGAGCUAUUGAGGGAAUAUAUGACAGGUACAGAUCAGAGCCCGUGUUUUUGUAAAGAGUGAUUGCAUCCAGUUUAUCUAGAUUUGGGGCACAAUUCAAUACGAGUAUUUCCACAAUUGCUUUGGGCUAAUUUGGCCCAGAGCAGAGAGAUUGGCUGGCUGAGCAGCUUCGUACUUGCAAAUGAAUUCUUACAAUAGAGGUAUAAACAGAGCAAAGAAUUGUAUCCAUAUGCUGAUGAUGCUUUCUUUUUGCACUGCUCUUGCGGUAGAUAUACUUUUCAAGAGGAUUCACCUGCAACAAUUCAUUGGGGGACAACACAAUAUCCAUAUGUAAGACCGGGUAUUUUAUGGAAGAGAAUAGGGAUAUCUGCGUGAUGUGGUAGUUGCUCAGGGAACGCAUUUAAGUUAAUCAAGCCUGCUGACAUAGAAUAUAUGUAUUUAAGAUCAAUUUUACUCUCAAAAGCCUAUUACGAGGCUUGUUAGUUGUUACAGCUGGGGUGGAUUUUUAUUUUUUUUUGGUACUAAUGUUGUAAACUGGGGAGGUAAUGUAAUCCAAUAAAUUUCAGUCUGAGUAGAAAAUCAUUAGAAUUGAUUUAUAGUUGUAUACUUUUUAGAACCUACAAUCGUCUUGAGCGAUAACUAUUAGAUACGAUGGCGAUGGGAUUUCCUUAUGACAGUGCAUCAGUUCAUCGUCUGAUCAGAAUAAGAAAGGAGUAGGAAGAGAGAAAGUGUAAAGAGUGGGAGAGGAGAGAUCAGACGAAGUCUCUUUCAACCCAAUACAAAGUAGUAACCCUUAGCCACCAAAA